rnacentral:rRNA from 1 species
UACGAAGGGGGCUAGCGUUGCUCGGAAUCACUGGGCGUAAAGGGUGCGUAGGCGGGUCUUUAAGUCAGGGGUGAAAUCCUGGAGCUCAACUCCAGAACUGCCUUUGAUACUGAGGAUCUUGAGUUCGGGAGAGGUGAGUGGAACUGCGAGUGUAGAGGUGAAAUUCGUAGAUAUUCGCAAGAACACCGGUGGCGAAGGCGGCAUCCUGGACCAAUAUUGACGCUGAGGAGCGAAAGCCAGGGGAGCAAACGGG